rnacentral:rRNA from 1 species
GCAAUGCCGCGUGACAGGAUGAAGGUCCUUCGGGUUGUAAACUGCUUUUGUACGGAACGAAAGGCUCUGGUUAAUACCUGGGUCUAUGACGGUACGUAAGAAUAAGCACCGGCUAACUACGUGCCAGCAGCCGCGGUAAUACGUAGGGUGCAAGCGUUAAUCGGAAUUACUGGGCGUAAAGCGUGCGCAGGCGGUUUUGUAAGUCAGAUGUGAAAUCCCCCGGGCUCAACCUGGGAACUGCAUUUGAGACUGCCAAGCUGGAGUUUGGCAGAGGGGGGUGGAAUUCCACGUGUAGCAGUGAAAUGCGUAGAGAUGUGGAGGAACACCGAUGGCGAAGGCAGCCCCCUGGGCCAAUACUGACGCUCAUGCACGAAAGCGUGGGGAGCAAACAGGAUUAGAUACCCUGGUAGUCCACGCCCUAAACGAUGUCAACUAGGUGUUGGGAGGGUUAAACCUUUUAGUGCCGUAGCUAACGCGUGAAGUUGACCGCCUGGGGAGUACGGCCGCAAGGCUAAAACUCAAAGGAAUUGACGGG